AACUAAUGAAUCACCGAAAGAAAUUCUAGAUGGAACACUAAAAGACUCUGUACGGACUUCAACUUUUGAACUCUUUAUCCAUUCAUUUUCAACUUUUAUUUUCAAAUUUAAAAUUAUUUCCCAAAAAAACCUCCUCCUCUUUUUCACUUGUCAAGGACCACCGCAAAUGAAGAGGGAUAGACAAUCAAAUCCCAAAAGAGCGCCAGCUGUCUUUGAUAGCGUCAGUGGUAUUCCAAUAGUGGCGCUUGCGACGUUCCCCUUUCGAAAAAUAAAAUUUAAAGCUGUUUAAAAAAGAAAAAGAAACAACGAAAGAAAAUGUAAAAUUCGCUGAAAAAUGCAUAUUUAGACUAAUGUUAAAAGAACCAAAAAACAAAAAAAAAAACAGAAAAUUUUAGACUUUUUUCAAUUUGGAAAGUGAAAUACAAAUUUUGUGGUCCAAGUAUUCAUAAAGAAAGAGAAAAAAAAAGAUGUGGUCCCAUUUUUUUUUUUUUUCUUUCUUUUUUUGUUUUCUUCAAUUCUUUGCUUCAUGAUCCGGAGUCAGUAGACUCCGCUCUCUUCCUCUCUCGACAGGGUUUCAUACGGAGAGGCAGAAUGGUGGAGCAGAUAGUUCGGCGAUGGCUUCAAUGUCUCUCAUGUGUUUCUGGCAACUCACCUUUCGCUGGUCGCAGCCGAGCUUUCCGAGCCUUUCAAUGUCAGUUAUGAUCGCAGAGCUCUGAUCAUUGAUGGCUUAACGCCGCAUGCUCAACUCUGCUGGUAACCACUACCCUCGCGCCACUUUGAAGAAGGAGUUGAAUUGUACCAAGUUAAAUAGAAGCCCACAUCCUGCACAACAUAAAGACUAUGACAUAAUAUUGGAUUCAUCAUGUUGAUGUGGCCUGAUUUAAUUUCAAAGAGUAAGGGAGGUGGCAUAGACGUGAUCCAAACUUACAGUAAACAACCAUGGUCAGCGAUUAUUUUACCUGACUGCAGGAACAGCGUGCUCAACACUGCCCAGGUUUGUUUCUUCAUUUGCAUUUUGUGCUGGAUAGCUCAAACAAUGAAAUUAUUGGUGGAAGUGAUAGUUCAAAAGUAUUGACAAAAUGAGAUACAUGAGCUUUGUUGGAAACGUGGAUAUACUUUACUGUGACUGUACUAGACAUUAGCUUUUCUGUAGUGGCUCACUGGGAAACAGUAUUUAGAAUUAUCAUAAAUAAAGGCCACGGUUGAUAUGACUGUGACUUAUAAAAAGAUUAACAAGCUGUGAUUAAUCUUAUAUGUCGCUCUAAUGCUGAUUAGGAAAGCUUUACUGGUAGAGUAGAAGAUCUAUUAGUUGCUGUAUGUUUGUUUUUGGAAAUUUAGCCACUUGUAGUAGAUAGAUUUAGAAUGUUGUGUCAAGAUCUUAUAAAGAGGCUGAAUUCGAUGCACUAAGUCAUAUUAUUUGGAUUUUCACUUCAUGUGGAUAAGGCUACUAUUUAUAUUUCAUGUUUUCUUAUAAUCAAUGUUUCAUGAGAGAACUAAGUAUAUUGAAUUCUACUAUGACAACAAGAUUAUUGUACCGUUGACAUUUUUCUUUUGUUUGAAAUUUUGUUGAAAACACUCUGAAAUUUUUGCUAAACUACAUAUAGAUAUAUAAAAGAAUUUAUCUUGCCACAAUUCUAGAAACUGAUGCUAAAGACGAAGAUGUUGCUUACCUAUUCUAGUUGGUAAAUAUUGUAAAAUUCUUGAUUAGAAAUAUUACAUAACUAGAAAUGUUACAUAACAGUAUCAUAUCAGUCUGGAAGCUGUUUAAAACAUGCUUCAAGUUUAUAAGUUAUAACAUCAUUACAGAGCCAGUUACGUCUGACCUUUUGAUAUCACAUUAUUUUGAGAAAUUUUAUCUCUCCAUCUUACACAAUUUUGUGAUAGAUUUUACUUGGUUUUUAUCAUUUUUGCGAAUGGAAGAAGCAGUUCUUUUAGUGCUCCUUCUUCCUUUCUUCUCUUUGGAUUUAUUUUGGGAAAUGCAUACGGUUAGUGUAAUGAUUGAGCAGGUUGCAGCGUGAACUUCUUUCAAAUACUAAGUUUGAUUUGUCUCUUUCAUCAGAUAAUUCUCUGCAAGAAAUGAUGACUGAGAAUAAUGGUUUCAAUGUCUUGAAGUCCUGGUUGACAUUUUUGUUUUUUAAAUUUUUUGGUAAAUGUGAAGUCCUGGUUGACUGUUAAAGAGCCUGUUGGUAUUUGGGGAGUGAAACACUUUUAUUGUCCAAUCAUGGUGCAUUUGAACAUGAUGGACUUAUCUGACCAUCUCUAACCAGGCACAUAUAGUUCUUAAAUAUGACAAUAACCUGAUAAGAUAAUCUACAGGAAUAGCAACAUUCCUAUGUUUCAUUAAUCUCUCCUUUAGUAAUCAAUUUUCCAGUAUCCUAAGUAAUAGUAUUAUGACAAUUUCAGAAAUCGGAUAUACUUAUCAAUGUGAUUGGCAUAUUGAAAGUGUACAUUUUCUUAUGAAGCACCCCUUUUUUCGUCUCAGUCCUUGUUGUCUUCCUUUGUGACUUCCACAUGUUAUUGCUUUCGAUUAUUUAUUUAUUUAUUAAUUUCUUUUUAAAUGAUUUAUUUGAGUAGAAAUAAAUACUGAGCUUUUGUUGAAUAGAAUGACAUAUCAACUUUUUCUGCAACCUGGCCAUUUGGGAAGUUAAUGUAUUUUUCUAUUCUCUAAGCAACUCCUUUUGGUUUGACACUUGACAGUUCUUACAUUGAUCUCCUGCAUCUUAUGCAUCAAUCCCCUUUACAUGGUCCCCAUCAAGGGCUGUCAUAUCUAGAAUGUUAUUUUUACCAUAAACAGCCUUGGCAAAGCAGGCUUGGUGAAGGUAAGUCUUUGUCCCCCUUAACUCAACUGCCAUAGCUGAAUUCCCUAUGUACGAAUAUGGUUGGUCUUGCCCCCAUGAUCUGUCUAAUGUGUUCAUUCAGUAUGCUUCAUUUUGUAUCUAUCUGCUUGUAUCUAUCUAUCUAUCUACUUGGCGUAAUGUUAAGAGAUAUUCUUUAUCCGUGCAUAGAACCUCGUCAUCCCGAUGGAGUAAUUGAUUUUAUUCUUCAUACUGGCAUCAAAACAUUUCAACUCUAAGAUUCUAACUGAUGAUGUCUGUUAAAUAACUGCUUCAUGCUCUUAUGGAAUGUAGAAUAUUUGUUCCCGAUGAUCACAUUAAUGGCAUUUGGGAAGGAACAUGAUAUAUAUUAUCCAGCAGUUAUAAUUGAUAGUAUGAUGUGCGUGUAUUUGUUAAUUGCCAACUUCAAGGUAAGUUUGCUUUACACUGGAAGCACUGAAAUUUUGGAAGAAAUUUAUUGAAUAUUAGCAUGUCAUCUCAACUUGGUAGCUUUUAGUAAUGCUUGGAUAAAUAUAUUUCUCCGUCCAAGGGGUUUGACCACUGAGAACUUGUGUGUGUUCGGUAAAAAUUUAUUCUGACCACUGGUCCUCAUGAACAAAGCCACUGGGAGAAAAAUGGAUAAAAUGCAAAAAAGUGGAACAAACCUGAAGGUUGUUCAUAAAUCCAUUCUUAAUCUCUUUCAAACUUCUGCAUGAAGUUCUGUAUUGAACAGUAAAUAAAAUGAAUUCGACUUUUUAUAUGUUUUAUAUUUUCACUACCUCCUGUUAUAUUUUCAUUGAAUAUAACUUUCAUGUUUUCCAAAGUGCGGGCAGACACAUUGGUUGCUGUAUCAAGGUUUUCUAGCCUGUUUGGUUUUCACCAGGGAUCCAAUGAACUACGUUUGUAAUCUGAGGCAAUGUGUUGCAGAAUUAUGGUGCUUUGAUGGAGAAAGAUGGGGCAAGGUUUAGAGGACAAAUUAAACUUUCUGGAUUUAGAAAUUCUUUUAGACCUGUCAAAGUUAUCAUUGACCUACCUGGUACGCACACAUUCACUUCCUAGAUUUAUUUAAAUACUUUUUUGCUUUUGUGUUUUUAUUUUUGUAGGAAAUUUUAAUAAUCCCUUAACUUAUUUUACGUUUAUUACAAAUUUUUUAGUAUGAAACUUUAUUUUACGAAUCAAAAGCUGAGACUUGUCUAACGAAGACACGUGUAGAGUACACAUGGACAUGACACAUGUCAUGCUUGACAACUGGUUUGACACGUAGGUAUGCCACAUGUUUAUAUGACUAACGAUCAAUCUGACACCUUUGCCAUAUUAGCCACUUGGCAUGCCAUGUGUUUGUCGUUGGCCAAUACUAGUUUGACACCUAUCUUACAUCGAACGUAUGCUAUUGCCAUGUUGUCAUGGCACAUGGCUGAGCUCUACAACUGGCGUUGAACGAAUGCUGUUGCCAUGUUGUCAUGGCACAUGGCUGAGCUCUACAACUGGACCACUUUAACACCUGACACAGCAUGGAUUGACUCGUUUGUCUGACACAUGGUUUGACAUGUUUUUAUGCCACGUGGUUUGACUAUUAGGUAUGCCAUGUGUUUAUCUUGUCCACUGUCCAUCUGACACCUGGAUUACAUGGACAUGUGUCAUCUUAACCACGUUGGCAUGGCACGUUUCUGAUCUUGACAACUGGAUCAUUGGAAGCCUGAAACACGGCAAGAAUUGACACGAUGGUAAGCCAUAUGUCUUGACACAUGUAUACCUCAAGUUUGUUUUCCCAAUUCCAAUUGGACACCUAUCGUACAUGGACAUGUGACUAUUUAUGACGUGGAUAUGAUACAUGUGUUGUCUUAAUGACUGGACCAUUUAAUCCGACACGUGGCUUGGGUACCUAUGCCACGCGUUUAUUCCAAUGACAAUUUUACACUUUUCUCCCAUGGAGACUUGUCUACACAUAUUUCUAGUCCAGCUGACAACUUUAUUAACAUUUAGAAAUCUUAGUCUUCCAUUAUCCACAAACAGAAUGCUAGAAACUGCGUCUUUAACUCCUAACUAAUUAGUUUCUGUUGACAUAUUUCUUCUAAAUUUCCUUUGACAUUAAUAUCAAAGGACGAGUUUGGAUCUCACACAUUGAAAUGUUUAAAGUGACAAAAGU